ensembl:lncRNA
GGCAAAUUCUGGACCAAAAGAUACAAAGACAAAAACCCCAACUGCCACUUCUGAAAAGCCAGGAGCAAAAACGGUGUUGGGAGCAAAAGCAGGGUACUCUGUGUGACCCCCUGCACUGAACACCACCAAAGGGUGGGCAAACCACCUAAGCUAGCCCGAUCCCUGGACACACCCUGACCCUUACCCCAGAGGAGUACAGGGACUAGGGGAAAAGGAGCCGUAUCAUGAGACUAUUUGAAAGAAUAUGACUUCUUAAACAAUCCACAUAAAGAAAACCAUUGCAGACAUAAGAUGAUUCUUGUUAAGACUUGGGGCCAAGUACCAGUGUUUGGGUUUCUUCGCAUCUGGCUGGCUGCUUGUGAAUGGUGUCCUAACUGCUGUAAGACUGGCUUCCUUCUCCAGGCCUGCUCAAUGGCCAAGAGAACUUUACCAAUGCAUGGGCACCUAAUGUUGACACUGAUUUGCAUAAUGGUGCAAUAAAG